rnacentral:hammerhead_ribozyme from 1 species
AUCCAGCUGACGAGUCCCAGAUAGAACGAAAUGUGAGUCGAACUGGAU